AUUUAUAUAGUAUAAACAUUAUAAUUGACUUCCAAUCAAUUGAUCUAACUCCUAGUAUAAAUA
rnacentral:tRNA from 2 species